rnacentral:lncRNA from 1 species
CUCUUGACCUUGUGAUCCGCCCAUCUUGGCCUCCCAAAGUGCUGGGAUUACAGGAGUGAGCCACCGCACCCAGCUCUUCUUUGAGUUUUUAAGGCCACAUAAGCUGUGGAUGUUAUAGAAUUUCUUAUUUCCCUGGGCAGCAACUGGGCCUCUAUUGAGACCCAAAUGCCCUCUUCAGAGGGAACUACGAGGUCAACAAGCACAAUCCCCACAUGUGCAGUGAAGUCUCCAUACGUCCACUCUGGAGGAGGAGAUGACAAGGCAGGGAGGCUGUCAUUUCCUACUUGGGCGGACCCUUCUAGGGGCGGUCUGCUCUGGCCCCUCCGCAAUUCCAGUCAGCAGCCUAGCAUGUCACUCUGGGAGGACCGCAGGAACUAGCAAAUCCAAUAUUCUGCUUACAAAUGGAGAGACGGAGGCCCCAAGAAGAAAGCUAAGAGGUACCAUCAUCAAAGGUCUGCCUCCACCCCAAGAGGACCUCGUGGACGUGGUGCCUCAGGCUCCACCAUCCCCAGGAGAAGAGUGCCAUGCUUGGACUCGUUUUUGCUGUUUUUGGGACAGUGGUGCCAUUCCCCUCCCGUGACUGACUCCUGCGUGCAGUCCCUAAUCUGCCCAUCACCGCCGGGGCACUGUCCACAGCAUUCUGUUGAUUUCCUCCACACUGUCUAACACAACCUGAAACAACCUCAUCUGCCCACCACGUCUCAUCUGUGCCUCCCUGCCUGGAACGGAGCUGCAGGAAGGCAGCGAUGUUUGUCUGGAGGUUCCCUGUUCGCUGGUGCGGGUCUAUGAGGAGGAAACACACAGAAACCAAAAGAUGGAAUCAGGCUGUCUCGGGCCACUUCCUUCCGCCACAGCUCUGCCUGGAGUGCCAGCCCCAGCACAGGUGAAUACACAGAACCAGCGCCUCCCUCCUGGAGCUUUCCUGGGGAGACCAGUGAGGGUGAACAAGGAAGCGGAUAGAGAACUCCCCGCAGCGUAAGUGCAGUGGGGACAUUUGUGGCAGGGAGUGCCUGGGGAGGGUGGUCGGGGAAGGCUGCCCCAAGGAGUUAUCAUCUGAGCAAGACCCAAAAUUGUAAGAAGUAGCACGCGGCGCUCCCAGGGAAGAGCAUGCCAGGCUGGAGGCCCUGCGGAGGGGACAAGUUCAGCAGCUUGGAGGACCAGAGAGAAAUCCAGCUCCUGCCUCCUAACUCACACAGCCCUGGUUAUAGCCUUUUGUUAUCACGUUGGGGCAGUUUAGGCCUCAGGAAGCUGAAUCUCAAGACCCUAAUCUGACUGUGGGUCAGAAGAUCCUCAUUCCAGGGUGGGUUCUGCCUCAUCCCCUAGAGGAAGAAAUGCUGCCGAGAAGCUGAGAAGAGUCUGGGCCAGGCGUGGUGGCUCAUGCCUGUAAUCCCAAGACUGGGAGCCCAAGGCGGGCAGAUCACCU